rnacentral:rRNA from 1 species
UAGGGAAUCUUCCACAAUGGACGCAAGUCUGAUGGAGCAACGCCGCGUGAGUGAAGAAGGUUUUCGGAUCGUAAAGCUCUGUUGUUGGUGAAGAAGGAUAGAGGCAGUAACUGGUCUUUAUUUGACGGUAAUCAACCAGAAAGUCACGGCUAACUACGUGCCAGCAGCCGCGGUAAUACGUAGGUGGCAAUCGUUGUCCGGAUUUAUUGGGCGUAAAGCGAGCGCAGGCGGAAUGAUAAGUCUGAUGUGAAAGCCCACGGCUCAACCGUGGAACUGCAUCGGAAACUGUCAUUCUUGAGUGCAGAAGAGGAGAGUGGAAUUCCAUGUGUAGCGGUGGAAUGCGUAGAUAUAUGGAAGAACACCAGUGGCGAAGGCGGCUCUCUGGUCUGCAACUGACGCUGAGGCUCGAAAGCAUGGGUAGCGAACAGG